ensembl:lncRNA
AUAUGAGAAAAACAGAAGAAAACAGGGUUAAGUGACUUGCCCAGAGUCACAAUACUUAGUAAGUGUAUGAGGUCACAUUUAAAGUGAGGACAUCCUUACUCCAGUGUUAGUAGUUUAUCCAGUGUGCCACUGCCUUUAUUCUCAGGCCAUGUCCCUUUGGUUCUGCUGUGGGAUACAACGAUUCACCUUUGAUUCCAACUUCACGCAGACUCAUGGUGGUCCAACAGUUGUCGGAAUUGAUCUAUCCACCUGGUUCCCAGCUGCCUAAUAGUUAUGGAAAACUGUAGUGAAAGCUCACAGUGCAGAAUCCAGUAACAGCCAAGAAAUCAGAGGUGGCAAAAAAAAAAAAAGUAACUUGGGAGAAAUGGAAAGAUAGAACUCUUGUAUACAAAGGAGAAAGCUUGGAUAUAUUCAACAGAAACCUUCCCAAAAUCAAUGUUAUUUCCAAUCAAAAACACCAUCAAAGCUCUAUGGUAGAUUUCUUGGGACUUGGCACUACUCCUUGCUUCUAGGAAUACUUUCAUAAUUGUAUUUUAUUUCUUAUUAAACUAUUGGUUCUCUCUAGAUGCCAAAACUUUUCCCUCUAAAGUUAUCUUUAAUUUAUUUACUCUCUCUCUGUUUCUACACACAUAUGCAUACAUUCAUAAACAUGUGUGUGCAUGUAUGUAUGUGUAUAUCAAUAUAAAAUAAUGUUGGG